CCUACGGGUGGCAGCAGUGAGGAAUCUUCCACAAUGGACGAAAGUCUGAUGGAGCGACACCGCGUGAAGGAUGAAGGCCUAACGGUUGUAAACUUCUUUUCUGAGGGAGCAUAAUGAGAGUACCUCAGGAAUAAGGGACGGCUAAAUACGUGCCAGCAGCCGCGGUAAUACGUAUGUCCCAAGCGUUAUCCGGAAUUAUUGGGUGUAAAGGGUCCGUAGGUGGUUUAAUAAGUUGGUUAUGAAAGACCGAGGCUCAACCUCGUGUUAGUGACCAAAACUAUUAAACUAGAAUCAGGGAGAGGUAAGCGGAAUUCUGAGUGUAGGGGUGCAAUCCGUAGAUACUCAGAGGAACACCAAAAGCGAAGGCAGCUUACUGGAACUGUAUUGACACUGAGGGACGAAAGCGUGGGUAGCGAAAAGGAUUAGAUACCCGAGUAGUC
rnacentral:rRNA from 1 species